CUAAAAAAAAAAAAAAAAAAAGAAGAUAGAGCGACAGGCAAGUCUAGUACGAUAAACCCAUAUCUUCAUCUUUGCUGCUGGGCUGUGCGGCCCUCACGGGCCAAUCCAACUGUUCUGAACGACUGCCAAGAAAAUCCUCUAAGGGAGUUUGACUUUCGACCGUAUCACAAUCCGACACAGGUAGACAAGGCGAAUAGCCUAAGGUGCGCGAGAGAGUUAUGGAAAAGGAACUCGGCAAACUAGCCCCGUAACUUCGGGAGAAGGGGUGCCCUACUCGGUCAGGAUGUACAAUCCAAAGCCUUGGAGGGUCUCAGUAAAUGGGCCCAAGCGACUGUUUACCAAAAACACAGGUCAACGCGAACACGCAAGUGGAAGUAUGUUGACUGACACGUGCCCGGUGCUGGAAGGUUAACAGGAGAUGUCAAGGGGUAACUCUGAAGCAUUGAAUCGAAGCCCCAGUAAACGGCGGCCGUAACUAUAACGGUCCUAAGGUAGCGAAAUUCCUUGUCGGGUAAGUUCCGACCUGCACGAAUCGUGUAACGACUUGGGCGCUGUCUCUUCCAUAAGCUCGACGAAAUUGCAGUAUUGGUGAAGAUGCCAAUUCCCCGUACCUGGACAGAAAGACCCCAUGAACCUUGACUGUAUCUUGGCAGUGGUUCUAGGUUGCGCAUGUGUAGGAUAGCUGGGAGGCUUUGAGACGGUGCCGCUAGGUAUCGUGGAGCCGCCGUUGAAAUACCAGCCUUGUGUAAUUUGGAAUCUAACCUAGGCCCCUGAAUCGGGGCUGGGGACACUGCCUGGUGGUCAGUUUGACUGGGGCGGUCGCCUCCUAAAGUGUAACGGAGGCAUCCCAAGGUUCCCUCAGCCUGGUCGGUAAUCAGGCGUAGAGUGUAAAAGCAUAAGGGAGCUUAACUGCGAGACUGACGGGUCAAGCAGAUACGGAAGUAGGGUUUAGUGAUCCCGCGGACUAGCGUGGAAUUGCCGUUGCUCAAUGGAUAAAAGGUACUCUGGGAUAACAGGCUGAUCUCCCCCAAGCGUUCACAGCGACGGGGAGGUUUGGCACCUCGAUGUCGGCUCGUCGCAUCCUGGGGCUGUAGAAGGUCCCAAGGGUUUGGCUGUUCGCCAAUUAAAGCGGCACGCGAGCUGGGCUCAGAACGUCGUGAGACAGUUCGGUCCCUAUCCGGUACGGGCGCUGGAUGUUUGCAGGAAGCUGACUCUAGUACGAGAGGACCGAGUCGGACGAACCGCUGGUGUAUCCAUUGUUCCGCCAGGAGCAACGUGGAGUAGCCAAGUUCGGACAGGAUAAACGCUGAAAGCAUCUAAGCGUGAAGCCCCUCCUAAGAAGAGACAUCCCGUGGGCGCAAGCCCCCAAAAGACCCGAUGUAGACUACGUCGUUGAUAGGUCGCAGAUGGAAGCGGAGCAAUCCGUGGAGUCGAGCGAUACUAAUAGGUCGAGCGGCU
rnacentral:rRNA from 1 species